rnacentral:rRNA from 1 species
UACGUAGGGGCAAGCGUUGUCCGGAAUUAUUGGGCGUAAAGCGCGUGUAGGCGGCCAGAUAAGUCCGCUGUGAAAUCUCGAGGCUCGAACUUCGAGCUGUCGGUGGAAACUGUCUGGCUAGAGUCCGGAAGAGGAGAAUGGAAUUCCUGGUGUAGCGGUGAAAUGCGCAGAUAUCAGGAAGAACACCCGUGGCGAAGGCGGUCUCUGGGACGGUACUGACGCUGAGACGCGAAGCGUGGGGAGCGAACAGG